rnacentral:SRP_RNA from 2 species
GCUGGGCGUGGUGGUGCGCGCCUGUAGUCCCAGCUACUCGGGAGGCUGAGACAGGAGAAUCACUUGAAUCCAGGAGGCAGAGUUUGCAGUGAGCCAAGAUCAUGCCACUGCACUCCAGCUUGGGCAACAGAGUGAGAUUCUGUCUCAA